AUCUCACUACCAAGCAGGCGAAACAGAAGGCUCAAACAAAAGGAUCUGGCCUGGGGAACCGUGGAGGAGGCUAAGGGUGGAAAGUGCCGUCUGGGGCAGGAGGGCUGCUUCUCCUGUGGGGCCUGGUGGAUCCCACCCAUGGCCACGGUUCUCACCCACGCUCUGACCUCCCCAGACCUGCCCUUCCCCUUCUUCCUCUGGAGAAGCCCGGAUUUGAUCAGCUGUUUGCCUCCUCCCGAGGCCCCGCUGGCUGCCAAGCCCUGCUGAAGAGCCGUGUGCGGCUCAGGCCAGUCUUGCAAAUUCCUCUGAAAGAAGUCUCGCUCUGUCGCCCAGGCUGGAGUGCAGUGGCGUGAUCUCCACUCACUUCAAGCUCCGCCUCCCGGGUUCACGCCAUUCUCCUGCCUCGGCCUCCCGAGUAGCUGAGACUACAGGCGCCCGCCACCACACCCGGCUAAUUUUUUUUUUUAGUAGAGACGGGGUUUCACUGUGCUAGCCAGGACGGUCUCGAUCUCCUCACCUCAUGAUCCGCCCGCCUCGGCCUCCCAGUCCCUAGUCCUUUUUAAAAAAUGUUUUAAUAAGAUGUUGAGUAGAUCUAAAUGAACACCAAUGCACCCACCGUGAAAGUGAAGGAACAGAACUUAAGAUGAUCUUUGAGGCCCCCUUGCACUUUGCCCUGAAACAUCCUUCUGCCAAUGUCCCAGAAGUAACCACAAAGCCACUUCCUCGUGUGGCCUCCAUGACACACGCUUCCUUGUUUUGCUCCUUCGCUGGCCUCUCCUUUCAUCUCUACUGUCCUAGCAAGACCCAAUCUCUACAAAACAUAUAAAAAUUAGCCAGGCAUGAUGGUGCACACCUGUAGUCCUGGCUACUUGGGAAGCUGAGGUGGGAGGAUCACUUGAGCCCAGGAGUUUGAGACUACAGUGAGUUAAGAUUGCAUCACUGUACUCCAGCCUGGGCAACAGAGUGAGCCCCUGUGAAGAGGAGGAAGGCGGGGAGUCGGGAGAAAAAGAAAAUCCUAAGGAUAAAAGGACUGGGUGUCCCAGGCAGCUAAGAUGGGCCCAGCCUGAGCCUUGACCUGGGUAAGGGACACUGCAUAUGCCCGACUAAACCUACUAAACCUGGUGCCAUGUUCCCUGGGAUCCCUGAGUGAGUGUUGUGGUCCCAGCCCAGAUCUGAGGCAGUGCUGUCUAUGUGGACACUGGCUAUACCUGCUGGGGACUAGAGAGGAAUGGCCGGGUUUGGGGGGCAGCACUAACCAGAUGGCCUGCAAGCUAUGGCAGGGUGGCUCUCAUUUGCUAGGACACAGGCCACUGGGGACCCAGCAUUUGUGUAAGAGAUGGGCCCUUCUAUAGAUGACACAUUUAUGUCGAGAGGCCGGAGAGGGCAGGAAGCUUCCCUCCUGACACCCCAGGUGUCUCCCCCAAGCCGCCAGGCCAAGGGCGCUUCUCCCCGCAGGUGUUCCCAGGGUUAUGGUCUACACAGCCACUGCUGAGAGGGUGCAGCCAGCAAGGAGUAAAUACGCUGGCCAGCAGGUGUGAGCCGGGGCGGUAGCCCCAAGGGAAGGCCCAUGGCUGGGCUGUGGGCAGCGUUCUUGGGGGCAGCCUUGUCCAGGGAUGCCAUGGGGUAGUCUGCCUGGGGAGGCUGAGCCAGGCAGGGCACAAAGACCAGGCGUUUCAGCCAGGUGGGGGCACCCCGGCCACCGACACUCCAGGCUUCUCCCUCACCAACCCCACCUCUUCCACCUUCCCUCCGAAAUACCUUGCACCCAAAUUCUAUGUCUGCCUCUGCUUCUGGAGAAUCCAACCCCCAUUGGAGAAGAGAGUCACUAAUUUGGGAUUUGGAACUGGGUCACUCACGGCCCACGGGCAAUGAGGACCCAUCACUGGUCAGGGGAGAUAGCUGGCGCCUGGCACAAGGUGGUCGUCCUGUCCAGUCCAGUUGUGAAACUGGUUCCAGUGUCCAGUGGGAAAGUUGGGGAAGGGGGUCUGCUGGGGGCCCCAGCUGCUGUUUGAUGAAUGAACAGACACGAGGGCCUCCAAGGAGGAAGCAAAUAAGGCGCAGGUGGCUGAGGCCUCACUGAGGUGCCCUGGCUGGAGUUUGGAGAAGUUGGGCGGGGCGCAGCACUCCCAGCUCCUGAUCAACACCUAGCCAAGGCCAAGGCCCCAUCUGGAGAAACCAGGACCGUGGGCAGGGAGGAGGCAGUGCGUGGUGCCUGAAGGUUCCACUCUCCAGCCUCUUAGGAAGCUUCUGAGCCUGCACAGACGCGGCCC
rnacentral:lncRNA from 1 species